CCCUUAGAUGUUCUGGGCCGCACGCGCGCUACACUGACGAAUGCAACGAGCUUAUAACCUUGGCCGAAAGGUCUGGGUAAUCUCCAAAUUUCGUCGUGAUGGGGAUAGAUUAUUGCAAUUAUUAAUCUUCAACGAGGAAUGCCUAGUAAGCGCAAGUCAUCAGCUUGCGUUGAUUACGUCCCUGCCCUUUGUACACACCGCCCGUCGCUCCUACCGAUUGAAUGGUCCGGUGAAGCGUUCGGACCGUGGCUUUGGACGGUUCGCCGUCUGUUGGCUGCGGGAAGUUCGUUAAACCUUAUCAUUUAGAGGAAGGAGAAGUCGUAACA
rnacentral:rRNA from 1 species